GCCAAUUGUGGCCCGUAAUCUCAGGGACUGGGGAGGUUGAGACUGGUGGAUCACUUGAGAUCAGGAAUUGGGAGAUGAAAUGAACUAAAGUUGAUUGGGUGUCUGCAUUGUCUGGCACUAAUAUGGAGAGCCUGUGGGAGUGGGGGAGUACCUAAGGAGGGGCAAACCAAUCCAGGCCAAAAAUAUCACAGGUCAAAGCUUCUGUGCCAAUCAGUAGUGGGUUUGGGCCUUUGAGUGACUUCUAUUCUUCCAGGCCUGGAUGAGAUAGAGAGAUCCACUCUCA
rnacentral:SRP_RNA from 1 species